rnacentral:rRNA from 1 species
AACGAACGCUGGCGGCAUGCCUAACACAUGCAAGUCGAACGAGACCUUCGGGUCUAGUGGCGCACGGGUGCGUAACGCGUGGGAAUCUGCCCUUGGGUGCGGAAUAACAGUUAGAAAUGACUGCUAAUACCGCAUAAUGACUCCGGUCCAAAGAUUUAUCGCCCAGGGAUGAGCCCGCGUCGGAUUAGCUAGUUGGUAGGGUAAAAGCCUACCAAGGCAACGAUCCGUAACUGGUCUGAGAGGAUGAUCAGCCACACUGGGACUGAGACACGGCCCAGACUCCUACGGGAGGCAGCAGUGGGGAAUAUUGGACAAUGGGCGAAAGCCUGAUCCAGCAAUGCCGCGUGAGUGAUGAAGGCCUUAGGGUUGUAAAGCUCUUUUACCCGGGAUGAUAAUGACAGUACCGGGAGAAUAAGCCCCGGCUAACUCCGUGCCAGCCGCCGCAGUAACAC